rnacentral:tRNA from 1 species
GAGGAUAUAGCUCAGUGGUAGAGUGUGUGCUUAGCAUGCAUGAGGUCCUGGGUUCAAUCCCUGGUACCUCCA